rnacentral:tRNA from 1 species
GUCUUCAUGGUGUAACAGUAGCACAUUUGGCGCAUAUAACAAGAGGCCCAGGUUCGAGUCCCGGUGAGGGCA